AUGGGCUACUCUCGUAGUCUUACUCUACGUCUCUACUCCUACAACAAAAUUUCGCCUCAUUGUCUUCCUGUCUCUCUCACAUCUUUCUUCUGAAUAGCCUCUGAAAUCGUGCAGCGUUGUCUUGAGCAAAGCAAAGCCUAAAGACCAGCUGCACACCCAUUAACCUCCCUCCUAAGUCCUAAACCCUCUGCAAAACCACUCUUACAUUACACAGAAAGCGCAAAACUACGCUAUUUGGCUCAUUCAUUACUCUCACAUUUUCUGUUUUCCAAAUACCCAUUAAACCAACCUUUAUUAAAUUCAUUACUCCCUAAUAAGAAACAAUCCCUUUGUCUCUCUCUCUUAGGGUUUGGAAAUGGUGAUUUUCGCAAUUUCUAAACAUGCCCAUUUCUCCAGACCUAGUCAAUUUCUCAAUUUCUUUGAAACCCAUCAUUUUUUGGAGGUUUUAGCAAAUGGGUUUGUGCCUAAUUGGUCCAGCAAAAGUGGUAGGAGAUCAUACAACACAAGAACGAGAAACUCGUGGUAUAAUGUUAACGUUGUACUUUAUGGUUUGACAUUAACAUUGGUUUGAAUUGGAGGAGGAGGGGGGGAAUGAAGCAAUUGGUCCGAAGUCUGGUAUGUAUAUCAAAAUUUUGUGUAAAGUAUUGGUGUACUUUAUUAAAUAUAUCUAGAUUAUUACAGAUAACAUUCUAGGAUUCAUGUACUUACGGAGCUGUGUUUCCGUAGCCAUUUUGGAUCUAUGUAUUGGUAUUAUCCGGGUAAUAUUUUUUGGGUAAAAUGAUCAGGUUUAGUUUGGAUCCUGGCUUGAUUAAUUAUUACAGGUUAUUUAUCGCGUCGACUUAUUGUAGAUGACCAACAAUUCAAGUUAAUGAGACUAGGUUUUCCGCGCAGUUGUUUUGAA